CUUAUCGACUAAACAGCAACUUCAAUGUUUUUUUGUUUUUAAAAAACACCUAAUCUAGGCAAAAAUAAUCGGGGUUUAGUUACAUUAUAUAAUGAUACAUUGCAUAAGCCUGCCACAACGUCAAUGUGCCCCAUCUUUGACAGGUCCUUCUCUAACAGCCUAAUGUCUGCUCUUAUGAAGUUGCUGUUUAGUGGAUAAGUGAGUGCGCUGGAUCUUGUGUGUUGUAUGGAUUGACCCCCAGCAGCACCCCAUUUAUGCAUGUUCAGAUGAGUGCA